CCCCUCUCAGGAUCGCCCCUGGAGAGUUUCCAAUACUCUACCAGUCUCUACUACAGGAGGGAGAGUCAAGCAGAGGAUACCCAUUUCAUUCCUAGCUUGGGCAGUAGCUAGCCAGUGGAAGACAAUCAGCUACAAGU